GAAGUGUCAAGAUGUGCUCUUCUAGCCUACAUCCACAGAAGAUCUGUGUUCAGACCUCCAAAAUGAUCAGCCCCUUCAGCUACAUGAAUGGCCUGGUGUGAAUCUGGAUUAGAGGAUCAGUUCUCCAACCAGCUCCAGACUGAACUCAUGUGUAUCUAAUCAGGAUUCAAUGGCGUUUCUCCUCCAAAGUCUUUUGCAGGAUCAGCGUGUCCUUCCUCUCACCACCACCCACCACCUUUUAUUCUCAUAUUUCCUGCAGGAAUUCUUAUUACCUCCACUGCAGACAGUACGCUGACGUACGCUCUCCAACAACAACAACAGCUGGCCUGUUCUCAUUAUAUUAAAAAGGAAAAGGAGAGAAAAUCAUAGGUCUUUAAAUAAUAAUAAUUAUAAUAAUAAUAUGAAUAAUAUAUCAGUCCCUUGACACUGUGGGAAAAUGAUCUGGAGCAGUGUUAAAAAUAAAUUCUUACUUGGUUCCUGGUU